UACGUAGGGUGCGAGCGUUAUCCGGAAUUAUUGGGCGUAAAGAGCUCGUAGGCGGUUUGUCGCGUCUGCUGUGAAAACUGGGGGCUCAACCCCCAGCCUGCAGUGGGUACGGGCAGACUAGAGUGCGGUAGGGGAGAUUGGAAUUCCUGGUGUAGCGGUGGAAUGCGCAGAUAUCAGGAGGAACACCGGUGGCGAAGGCGGUUCUCUGGGCAUUACCUGACGCUGAGGAGCGAAAGUGUGGGGAGCGAACAGG
rnacentral:rRNA from 1 species